UACGGGGGGGGCAAGCGUUGUUCGGAAUUACUGGGCGUAAAGGGCUCGUAGGCGGCCCACUAAGUCCGACGUGAAAUCCCUCGGCUUGACCGGGGAACUGCGUCUGAUACUGGAUGGCUUGAGUUUGGGAGAGGGAUGCGGAAUUCCAGGUGUAGCGGUGAAAUGCGUAGAUAUCUGGAGGAACACCGGUGGCGAAGGCGGCAUCCUGGACCAACACUGACGCUGAGGAGCGAAAGCCAGGGGAGCAAACAGG
rnacentral:rRNA from 1 species